rnacentral:rRNA from 1 species
GUAGGGAAUAUUGGACAAUGGGCGAAAGCCUGAUCCAGCCAUGCCGCGUGAUAGAUGAAGGCCCUCUGGGUUGUAAAUAUCUUUUAUCUGGGAAGAAACUCCUCUAUUCUUAGAGGCCUGACGGUACCAGAGGAAUAAGCACCGGCUAACUCCGUGCCAGCAGCCGCGGUAAUACGGAGGGUGCAAGCGUUAUCCGGAUUCACUGGGUUUAAAGGGUGCGUAGGCGGGUUGAUAAGUCAGUGGUGAAAGCUCCGGGCUUAACUUGGAAACUGCCAUUGAUACUGUCAAUCUUGAAUGUCGUAGAGGUAAGCGGAAUGUUGCAUGUAGCGGUGAAAUGCUUAGAUAUGUUACAGAACACCAAUUGCGAAGGCAGCUUACUAUGCGAUAAUUGACGCUGAGGCACGAAAGCGUGGGGAGCAAACAGAAUUAGAAACCCUGGUAGUCC